ensembl:lncRNA
GUUUGUGUGACGUGUGUUUGGUGUGAAUUUCAUGCAUGUUUGGUGUUUGAUGUGUUUGGUGAGCAUUUUCUGUGCGGUUGUCGCGUGUUUGGUGUGUUGAGAUGUUUGACAUGUAUUUGAUGUGUGUUUGGGUUGCGUUUGGUGGUUGUGUCUCUGGUGUUUGUAUGAUAUUUGUUUGGUGUGUGUCUGGUGGGAGUUUGGUGGAUGUGCACUGUUUGAUGUGUGUUUGGUGUGUGUAAAUGUCUUGUGUGUGUCUGAGUGUCUGGUGGGAGUUUGGUGGAUGUGUACUGUUUGUUUGGUGAGUGUUUGGUGUGUGUUUGAUGUGUGCUUUGUGUUAACAUGCCAGCAGCACUUACUGGUAUGUUUGGUGGGUGUUUGGUGUGUGUUUGAAUUGUGUUUGGUGUGUGUGUUUGGUGAGUGCUUGAGUGGUGUGUGUUUGGUGUGUGUUUGGUGUGUGUUUGGUGUGUGUGGUGUGUGUUUGAAUUGUGUGUGUGUGUGUGUUUGGUGUUUGAGUUGGUGAGUGUUUAGUGUGUGAGUAGUGUGUGUUUGGCGAGUGUGUGGUGUGUGUUUGAAUUGUGUGUGUGUGUAUUUGGCGAGUGUUUGGUGUGUGUUUGAAUUGUGUGUGUGUGUAUUUGGCGAGUGUUUGGUGUGUGAGUAGUGUGUGUUUGGCGUGAGUAGUGUGUGUUUGGCGAGUGUUUGGCGUGUGAGUAGUGUGUGUUUGGCGUGUGAGUAGUGUGUGAGUAGUGUGUGAGUAGUGUGUGAGUAGUGUGUGAGUGGCGAGUGUUUGGUGUGUGAGUAGUGUGUGAGUAGUGUGUGAGUAGUGUGUGAGUGGCGAGUGUUUGGUGUGUGAGUAGUGUGUGAGUAGCGUGUGAGUAGUGUGUGAGUGGCGAGUGUUUGGUGUGUGAGUAGUGUGUGUUUGGCGAGUGUUUGGUGUGUGAGUAGCGUGUGAGUGGCGAGUGUUUGGUGUGUGAGUAGCGUGUGAGUAGCGUGUGUUUGGUGUGUUCGGCGUGUGAGUAGCGUGUGUUUGGUGUGUGAGUAGCGUGUGAGUAGUGUGUGAGUAGUGUGUGAGUAGCGUGUGUUUGGUGUGUGAGUAGCGUGUGAGUAGUGUGUGUUUGGUGUGUGAGUAGCGUGUGAGUAGCGUGUGUUUGGUGUGUGAGUAGCGUGUGAGUAGCGUGUGUUUGGUGUGUGAGUAGCGUGUGAGUAGCGUGUGUUUGGUGUGUGAGUAGUGUGUGAGUAGUGUGUGAGUGGCGAGUGUUUGGUGUGUGAGUAUAGUGGGUUUGGCGAGUGUUUGGUGUGUGAGUAGCGUGUGAGUGGCGAGUGUUUGGUGUGUGAGUAGCGUGUGAGUAGCGUGUGUUUGGUGUGUGAGUAGUGUGUGAGUAGUGUGUGAGUGGCGAGUGUUUGGUGUGUGAGUAGUGUGUGAGUAGCGUGUGAGUGGC